rnacentral:rRNA from 1 species
GAUGAACGCUAGCGGCAGGCCUAAUACAUGCAAGUCGAACGGUGUCUUCGGACAUAGUGGCGCACGGGUGCGUAACACGUAUGCAACCUACCUUACAUUGGGGGAUAGCCUUUCGAAAGGGAGAUUAAUACCGCAUAAGACAGUAGCUGGGCAUCCAGCAGCUGUUAAAGAUUUAUCGAUGUAAGCUGGGCAUGCGUCCAAUUAGCUAGUUGGUGAGGUAAUGGCUCACCAAGGCAAUGAUUGGUAGGGGAACUGAGAGGUCAAUCCCCCACACUGGCACUGAGAUACGAGCCAGACUCCUACGGGAGGCAGCAGUAGGGUAUAUUGGGCAAUGGACGCAAGUCUGACCCAGCCAUGCCGCGUGCAGGAUGAAGGCGUUAUGCGUUGUAAACUGCUUUUAUACAGGAAGAAACGACUCUUGCGAGAGGCAUUGACGGUACUGUAUGAAUAAGCACCGGCUAACUCCGUGCCAGCCGCCGCCGUAAGAC